UACGAAGGGGGCUAGCGUUGCUCGGAAUCACUGGGCGUAAAGCGCACGUAGGCGGGUCCUUAAGUCGGGGGUGAAAUCCUGGAGCUCAACUCCAGAACUGCCUUCGAUACUGGAGAGCUUGAGUCCGGGAGAGGUGAGUGGAACUGCGAGUGUAGAGGUGAAAUUCGUAGAUAUUCGCAAGAACACCAGUGGCGAAGGCGGCUCACUGGCCCGAUACUGACGCUGAGGCACGAAAGCGUGGGGAGCAAACAGG
rnacentral:rRNA from 1 species